rnacentral:lncRNA from 1 species
GGACAUGUAAUCUUUUAUCCACCAUGAUUGAUGCAAAAAAAACAUCAAUAUGUUGCCGAUGAUAGAGAGAUAGGGAUAGAGUGGAGAGGUAACAGUAUGGCAUGAGAGGACCUCAGGCUCUUACUCGAGGACUUUCUCCUUGGAGUUCAUGAAGAGCCCAUACUUUUUUUCAUCAUCGUGGUCAUCAUUGUUACCAUCUCCAACAUUAUAAAAAGAAUGGGAGGAGCCCAUUGGGAUGGGGGGAGGGUCCCAGAUCCGGACGGAGGGGCUAAGGAAGCGUGGGGUGCAAGCUAUGG